rnacentral:rRNA from 1 species
CCUGAACGCUGGCGGCGUGGCUAAGACAUGCAAGUCGUACGGGUGUAGCAAUACACCAGUGGCGAACGGGUGAGUAAUGUAUCGCUAAUGUGCCCCGGAUUCUGGGAUAGCCAUCCGAAAGGGUGGGUAAUACCAGAUGAUAUAACUUUGUCGCAUGACAGAGUUCCCAAAGGAGCAAUCCGCUCUGGGAGCAGGCGAUAUCGUAUCAGCUAGUUGGUGAGGUAACGGCUCACCAAGGCGACGACGCGUAGCUGGACUGAGAGGUUGGCCGGCCACA